rnacentral:rRNA from 1 species
AUGUACAUUAGGCGGCUAGGAUCUCUUUUAUUUGUUUCCUGGUCUAGCGAUAUCUCCCGACGGAUACGAUUGGGAUCUCGCAGCCCAUGUACUCUAUAUAUACGGCAUAUAAUCAAUACAAUCAUCGAUUCAAAUAUUGUCUUCCAUAUGGUAUCAUAUAGCUCAUCGAUCCAAAACCAGGCUUCCGCUCUUCUCGCACGCCGCCGCCUCCUCGAGCAGCCGCCGCCGCCCACCCUCACGCCGCCGCAGUACCCUGCCGCUGCCACCGCACCUCCCAACUGUCGCCGCCGCCGCCCCCACCCUCAUGUCGUCGCCGGCGCAGUACCCUACUGCUGCCGCCGCCCCUCCCAGCCACCGCCGCCGCAGUACACUGCCGUCGCCGCGCCUAACCUCCUGUGGUCGCCGCUGCAGUACCCUGCCGCCGCCGCCACACAUCCCAGCAGCCGCCUCCCUCUUCCUGUUGCCGCUGCCCUCCUCUUUCCUUCUUCCCGCCACAGCUGCCGCCAUCUCUCUGCCGUCGCUGCUCUUCUUCUCCCACCCUUUCCCCUUCUCUUCCUACACCCGAACCACUCCCCACCCUCCUCACCACUGCCAUGGCCUUUCCUCACUCCUUCAUCUCCUGUGGUUCUAACCCCUUUCGCAGGUCCUGUGCCUCCCUCCUCCUAA